GAUGAAGAACGCAGCGAAAUGCGAUAAGUAAUGUGAAUUGCAGAAUUCAGUGAAACAUCGAAUCUUUGAACGCACAUUGCGCCCUCUGGUAUUCCGGGGGGCAUGCCUGUUCGAGCGUCAUUAUAACCACUCAAGCUCUCGCUUGGUAUUGGGGUUCGCGGUUCCGCGGCCCCUAAAAUCAGUGGCGGUGCCUGUCGGCUCUACGCGUAGUAAUACUCCUCGCGUCUGGGUCCGGUAGGUCUACUUGCCAGCAACCCCCAAUUUUUACAGGUUGACCUCGGAUCAGGUAGGGAUACCCGCUGAACUUAAGCAUAUCAAUAAGCGGAGGA
rnacentral:misc_RNA from 1 species